GGCAAGCGAUGAGCGCAGCACUGAUCUUGCCUGGGUCUUUCAGGACUCUGUUCCUCUAGGAGCUCCCUCUGCUGCCUGAGAGCUGGUGCCUUGGAAUUGAGCUCCUGGGUGCUGUGGGAGCAGCAUGGCUGUGUUUCAUCCUAGUGCCCUUCAGCCCUGAGAGCAUUUCUGCAGCUGCUACUUCUGGACACCACCACGGCAGGUUCUGCCGCUGGGUGACUCACCUGCGGAGCCACUGUCACAAAAUCACUGAUCAGGAGCGAGCUGACUGACAGAGCAGGAUUUUUUCAUGCUUCUCUACAGAUGAUGAGAAGAAACACAGCCUUCCCGCUCUUCGUCCAUCCCUUCCGCAUUGUGCUGGGUUGUUUUCAAACAGAUUCUGCUUUCCCAACAGCUGGGGAGAGAGCUGCUGCCAGCUGUGAGCACAGUGCCAGCGGGAGCCCGCAGAGCAUCACAUCCCUACAGCUCACAGCCAGGGACAUGUCCCCUCCCUGUGCCAGAGCCCUGAGACAAGGACACUGCUCUGGGACGGGCAGCAGCACAACCCUGUAGCCUGACCAGGGAUCUUGGCAUCCACAUGCAGGCAUCCCCAAGCCUUGAUUGAGUGGGACCCUGCCAGGAGGAGGCAGCUGGGAGGGCAGAACUGCUCAGGUAUGGUGCUUGGGGCUGCACACCUGUGUGCCUGGGGCUGGGCACACAUGUCCCUGGGGCAUCCCUAUCCCCUUGGGCUCCUGAUGCCACGAGCUCAACCUCUGCUGGGUCUGGCUCCUACCUGCAGCAGGAGGGCAGAGCCACCUUCAUUGCCCAGCCCUGCAGGGAGGGGAGGUCAAACUGGGGCAUGAGGGUGAUGUCUGCCAGGGCUCUUUGCUUUCUCCACUGGGAACCAGUCGAGCCAGCAGGUGAGGAGCAGUGUCACUGGGCAAGCAGGGGACAUGUGUGACACACUGGGCUCUGGGAGUGGCUCCCAGCCUGGCCAGCCAUGAGCAGUUCCUGCGGGAAGGCAGCAAGCACAGGGAGAUGGACCUUGAGACAGGGCAAGGGCUCAUCGGUAUGUUUGGGUUCAUCUUGGGCAUCGGGCUGGCCUUGCUGAUCCUGAUCAUCUCUGGCUACACCGUUUUCCUUUGCUACCAUCAGGGCUGGUGCUGGUGCAGGUCUGACUUCAUCUUCAACCUCUACCAUGGCUGCAGGCUGAGGUCGGUGGCAGUGGAGCUGGCACCUCCGUUCAGCAUCAGUGCCUCUGUGAGCCAGGCAGGGAAUGGCUACGUGCGCUUCCAGGAGCAGGGGCUGUGAGCAGCAGGGCAUGGUGCUGCUCCUUGUGCGUGGGACCCCAGCUUCAUGGAGGUCCUGCAGAGCCUGGAGCAGCAUGCACUGGCCUUCCCAUGGUGGUAAAUGUGCUGCACCCCAAAGCUUUCUGCACCCCAGAUCCUCCUUCCCCUCUUGUAGCUCUGGCUGUGGCUUUCCCUGGGAUGGUCCCCAGGAUUUUCCUCUGAAAGCAGUGAGGAAGCAGGGGCUGGAAUAUACAUGCUUCCUGUGACCACAUGCCACUCGCAGCUUCUUCCUGCUGCCUCUUCCCCCCCACCAGCAACCACAGAGAGAACAGCAAAACUGGCCAUGGGGAAAUUCCUGUAUUCUUGGUUCUCUAAAGAACAACUCCCAGAUACGCAGGAUUUCUACCAAAUUUGGAGCAGUGCUGUUUCUGGGUUUUGUUUUUUGUUUUCAAUUGAGCUUCUCCAUUCUCUCUCUGCUGUGUUUCCUUCUCUGCCCUUUUGGCCUUGGGCAGGGCUGGAUGAGGGCCGCUGCUGGGCAUGGGCUCAGCCUCCUUCUCUUGAAGUGCAGGAAGAAGGGCACUGCUUCAUCCCAAGCACCCACCCUGCAGAGCAAAGCAACCCUGUGUUCCCCUCUGAUCUGACAUCCCUGUGCUUGGGACCCCGGUUUGCCCAGCAGACCUUGGGGCAGGAACGUGAGGAAUCAGCCCAAAAGUGUGGCAAGGAGCCACAGAAAUGGAUGGCUGACUGUGCAAGAGGGGAAAACGCUGUAAGGAAAUGAGAGCACUUCAGACUUCCCUUAGUCAAGGAACUGCACCAAUGUGGAAAUUUCUCCAGUCUGUACUGACUGUGCAAGAGAACAGUCCAGAAAAUCCCCACUGGGUUUCCUCGAGGCUUUCUGGUAAGGGUCUCAGCAGCCCAGUGCCGGGCUGUUGGGCACAGCAGGACAGGUCCCCAUGGGGCUGAGCUGUUUGGGACAGCUCUGUGCCCUGCACGGCUCUGCCCCUCUCUAUGGGCUGCCCCCUGCUGCCUCCAUCCCCUCAGGCUGCCUCACAUCGCUGGGUAUGGGGCUCUGUGGGUGGGGGAUUUGUUGGAAAUGCUUUGGAAAUGUUGGAGCAUCAUUGGAAAUGCAUUCAGGCAUCGGUGCUGGGGAGGAAAAAGGUAUUUACAGGAGCAGCCCCCCCAGAGCAAGAGGCUGAGAUGCGAUGCUACGCACUGCGUGGAGGGGGAGGAAAGAGAUUUUUGCAGAAGGAAUGGAAGAGAAACAUCUCAGCAACACUGAGCUGUGACUUCAACGAGGAAAAUGUGAGCGCCUGUAGUUUCCCAGAGCCAAAGGGGCUGUCCGUGCUCUCUGCUUUCAAAGCCAAAGCGUGUGGUUUUCUGGCAAAGGCAUCUGUUUCACUGAAAGGAGAGCUUGCCGAGGAGGGGGGGUGGAACGUGGUGUCCCUCAGGCACAGCUGCAGCCUGCUGGAGCCUCCCACGGUGAGUGGGAACCGGCAGCGCCCGGCACAGCCCUGGGGACGGCCACAGAGCUUGACGUCAG